rnacentral:tRNA from 1 species
GCCGAAGUGGUGGAACUGGUAGACACACUAUCUUGAGGGGGUAGCGGCCAACGGUCGUGCGAGUUCGAGUCUCGCCUUCGGCACCA